CGCGUAGGCGGCUUGUCAAGUCCGGGGUGAAAGCCUCCAGCUUAACUGGAGAAGUGCCUUGGAUACUGACGAGCUCGAGCGAGGUAGGGGCAGAUGGAACUUCCGGUGGAGCGGUGAAAUGCGUUGAUAUCGGAAGGAACGCCGGUGGCGAAAGCGAUCUGCUGGACCUCUUCUGACGCUGAGGCGCGAAAGCCAGGGGAGAGAACGGGAUUAGAUACCCCGGUAUUCCUGGCCCUAAACGUUGGGUACUAGAUAGUGGACUUCACAUGGGUUCACUGUCGAAGCAAAAGUGAUAAGUACCCCGCCUGGGGAGUAUGGUCGCAAGGCUGAA
rnacentral:rRNA from 1 species